rnacentral:rRNA from 1 species
GAUGAACGCUAGCGGCAGGCCUAAUACAUGCAAGCUGAACGGUAAAUGUUAUAGCAAUAUGAUAUGAGAGUAGCGUAAGGGUGCGUAACACGUAUGCAAUCUGCCCGCAACAGGAGGAUAGCUCCCCGAAAGGGGAAUUAAUACUCCAUAAUAUCACGAGAGGGCAUCUGAUUGUGAUUAAACUCCAAGGGGUUGCGGAUGAGCAUGCGUCUGAUUAGUUAGUUGGUGAGGUAACGGCUCACCAAGACGAUGAUCAGUAGGGGAACUGAGAGGUUAAUCCCCCACACUGGCACUGAGAUACGGGCCAGACUCCUACGGGAGGCAGCAGUAGGGAAUAUUGGUCAAUGGGUGAGAGCCUGAACCAGCCAUGCCGCGUGCAGGAAGACAGCCUUCUGGGUUGCAAACUGCUUUUGUCAGGGGAUAAAAUACCCGUGCGCGGGGAAUUGAAGGUACCUGAUGAAUAAGCCACGGCUAACUACGUGCCAGCAGCCGCCGUAAGAC